UGGAGAUCCGAUACAGGUGUUGUAUUAGAGUUCUUACAACACUUCACAUUGUCUCCGAGAUAAUGGGCUUUCUGAUGACCGUAAUUGAAUAAGUUUUAGAUUGCGGACAGAUACGAAGCGUACAAAA